rnacentral:rRNA from 1 species
AUUGAACGCUGGCGGCAGGCCUAACACAUGCAAGUCGAGCGGGGUUUUCGGACCUAGCGGCGGACGGGUGAGUAAUGCGUAGGAAGCUACCCGAUAGAGGGGGACACCAGUUGGAAACGACUGUUAAUACCGCAUAAUGUCUACGGACCAAAGUGUGGGACCUUCGGGCCACAUGCUAUCGGAUGCGCCUACGUGGGAUUAGCUAGUUGGUGAGGUAAUGGCUCACCAAGGCGACGAUCCCUAGCUGGUUUGAGAGGAUGAUCAGCCACACUGGAACUGAGACACGGUCCAGACUCCUACGGGAGGCAGCAGUGGGGAAUAUUGGACAAUGGGCGCAAGCCUGAUCCAGCCAUGCCGCGUGUGUGAAGAAGGCCUUCGGGUUGUAAAGCACUUUCAGUAGGGAGGAAGCGUUGUGUGUUAAUAGUACACAGCGUUGACGUUACCUACAGAAGAAGCACUGGCUAACUCUGUGCCAGCCGCCGCAGUAAUAC